rnacentral:rRNA from 1 species
AAUCGCUAGUAAUCGCAGAUCAGAAUGCUGCGGUGAAUACGUUCCCGGGUCUUGUACACACCGCCCGUCACACCAUGGGAGUUGGAAAUGCCCGAAGCCAGUGACCCAACCGUAAGGAGGGAGCUGUCGAAGGUGGAGCCGAUGACUGGGGUGAAGUCGUAACAAGGUAGC